rnacentral:tRNA from 1 species
GAACUAUAUAAACGUCUAAGCUUCUAACUUAGAAAAGCGAUUAACUUAUUGCAAGUUCU